rnacentral:rRNA from 1 species
GAUGAACGCUGGCUACAGGCUUAACACAUGCAAGUCGUGGGGAAACGACGGGGAAGCUUGCUUCCCCGGGCGUCGACCGGCGCACGGGUGAGUAACGCGUAUCCAACCUGCCUCUGACUGAGGGAUAACCCGUCGAAAGUCGGCCUAAUACCUCAUGGCAUCGUCUGCGGGCAUCCAACGACGAUUAAAGAUUUCAUCGGUCAGAGAUGGGGAUGCGUCUGAUUAGCUAGUUGGCGGGGUAACGGCCCACCAAGGCGACGAUCAGUAGGGGUUCUGAGAGGAAGGUCCCCCACAUUGGAACUGAGACACGGUCCAAACUCCUACGGGAGGCAGCAGUGAGGAAUAUUGGUCAAUGGGCGAGAGCCUGAACCAGCCAAGUAGCGUGCAGGAUGACGGCCCUAUGGGUUGUAAACUGCUUUUAUGCGGGGAUAAAGUGAGGGACGUGUCCUUCAUUGCAGGUACCGCAUGAAUAAGGACCGGCUAAUUCCGUGCCAGCAGCCGCGGUAAUACGGAAGGUCCGGGCGUUAUCCGGAUUUAUUGGGUUUAAAGGGAGCGUAGGCCGUGGAUUAAGCGUGUUGUGAAAUGCAGGUGCUCAACGUCUGCACUGCAGCGCGAACUGGUCCACUUGAGUGUGCGCAACGCAGGCGGAAUUCGUCGUGUAGCGGUGAAAUGCUUAGAUAUGACGAAGAACUCCGAUUGCGAAGGCAGUUUGCGGGAGCACAACUGACGCUGAAGCUCGAAAGUGCGGGUAUCGAACAGG